UACGAAGGGGGCUAGCGUUGCUCGGAAUCACUGGGCGUAAAGGGUGUGUAGGCGGGCUUUUAAGUCAGUGGUGAAAGCCCCGGGCUCAACCCGGGAAGUGCACUUGAUACUGCGUGGCUUGAGUAUCGGAGAGGUUGGUGGAAUUCUCGGUGUAGAGGUGAAAUUCGUAGAUAUCGAGAGGAACACCGGUGGCGAAGGCGGCCAACUGGACGAAUACUGACGCUGAGACACGAAAGCGUGGGGAGCAAACAGG
rnacentral:rRNA from 1 species